rnacentral:rRNA from 1 species
CCUACGGGUGGCAGCAGUGGGGAAUAUUGGACAAUGGGCGAAAGCCUGAUCCAGCCAUGCCGCGUGUGUGAAGAAGGCCUUCGGGUUGUAAAGCACUUUCAGUGGGGAAGAAAGCCUUGGGGCUAAUACCCUCGAGGAAGGACAUCACCCACAGAAGAAGCACCGGCUAACUCCGUGCCAGCAGCCGCGGUAAUACGGAGGGUGCGAGCGUUAAUCGGAAUUACUGGGCGUAAAGCGCGCGUAGGCGGUCUGAUAAGCCGGUUGUGAAAGCCCCGGGCUCAACCUGGGAACGGCAUCCGGAACUGUCAGGCUAGAGUGCAGGAGAGGAAGGUAGAAUUCCCGGUGUAGCGGUGAAAUGCGUAGAGAUCGGGAGGAAUACCAGUGGCGAAGGCGGCCUUCUGGACUGACACUGACGCUGAGGUGCGAAAGCGCGGGUAGCAAACAGGAUUAGAUACCCCUGUAGUC